AUGUCAUCUGUUUUUCUGUGUAACCCAUGUGGUUCAGUACCUGAUAGGAAGGUUUCUUCUUUCCUUCUAGUAUUGGAGACUUAUCCACCACAUGGUGAUGCCUUCCCUGACCUCCUUGAUUGCAGUGUGGGAUGUGCCCUGAUCCUUGGAAAGGGGUUGCAGUGGAGAAGUGCAGUUGUCCGGGGCGCUGCAAGGACUCUAUUGAGGCAUUUGGUGGACGCCGCAGGAACCCACAGCCAGAGGUGGAUGCCAAGAUGCACAUCUUCCUCUGUCUGGCAAGCUCUGCUGACCCCUGAGGUUUUUCCCAUGCUUGCAGAGGUUGUAUGGGCUUGGUGUUGGUUGUUGCUUGUGCUCACCUUGCUGUCACCGGGUGUUCUUCCUUUGCCCAUCAUAGGGCUCCCCAGUUCUGGUGGGAUCUCCGUGCCUUCUGUUGAUCCCAGAGUACUUCAAUUUGUUCUUUUAUUUUCAGGUUCUGUACCAUUUCAUGCUUUUGUGAUGUGUUUUUCUUCCUUUUGUUUUACAGGAUGGAAAUGUACACCUGGUUGGAUCUACGAUGACCCAAAUGCAAUCUAGUAAGGUUUGGCCAAGUGUGGUGGGAAAGGAAGAUGUAGGCUCCUAAGCAAACUUCUGGUGAGGGCUGUGUUUCAUUUGGGUUUUUCUGGGAUGCCCACUACUCCUCCCUACCCCAUUUUGUUCAUUACCGUGUGUGAAGGAUACUUUUUUCCUUCUAGGAUUGGGGACACCAGCACCAGAUGCUCUUGCACUUCCUGACCUCCCUGGGUGGCAGCAUUGGAAGUGCCUGGACCCUUGGAAAGGGCUAAGUGAUUCCUUCAUCAUUACCAGAAUGUAGUUUGUGUUCACAGGUGACGGUGGAGAACUGUGGCCUUCUGUUCAGCGCAAAAAGUCUACUGAGGAUCUAGGUGGAUAGAACAGGAACGCAGAGCAAUAGUUGGAUGCCAAUAUGCACAUCUUCCUCUGUCUGGCAAGCUCUGCUGACCCCUGAGGUCGUUUCCAUGCUUGCAGAGGUCCUAUCUGCUUGGUGUCGGUUGUGUCUUGUGUUCACUUGGCUUUCACCGGGUGUUGUUGCCUUAUAAUAUUUUCCCAACCUGUUUCCAAGCAGGAGGUCCCCUUGGCCUCCGUGUCUCGCUCUGGCCAGGCAGAUGUGGUGCGCCAACGGUAGCAGAGUCCAGACCCUGAGCAGAACAACUGAGGAGAGAGGCUGCCCUGGGUGAGACAGGAGAAGUGCCCCUUGAAGCGGGGGACGCCCCGCUGGCGCUGCCUCUCGCAUCCACCGGCAGCCAGCACGUUCCUUCUCUCUCCUUGCUGCCCGGCGCUUUGCCGUCUCCCAGGGCUCACCAAGUCCAAAUGUUCCCUGAUGGAGUCCAACUCCAGCUUGACCAACACUCACCCGUCUUGUCCCGCACCAGCUGGCUUAGGGCU
rnacentral:lncRNA from 7 species